rnacentral:tRNA from 3 species
GCCUAGUUAGCUCAGUUGGUAGAGCAGAGGACUGAAAAUCCUCGUGUCUCUGGUUCGAUUCCGGAACUAGGCACGA